rnacentral:lncRNA from 1 species
CUAAAGAUGUCUUGAAGAGAAAACAGCUGAAUAAUUCAUUUUCUAAUAAUGAUCUGUGAAACAAGUUGAAAUAUAAGACCAAGGAGAUAAAUCACAGUUCCCAAAGGACAAGGGGAAACACACCAGCUAUAUUGAAACUUGCCCCUCAUUUGGGCUUUCACCACAAACCCUCAGGGCUUUGGCCUGCAGUCCAUUGCCAGGGAGAAGUACAGACCCCAAAUGGUAUGGACUACAAAGAGGUCAACCACAGCCACCACUUUCACCUGCCUGCCUUCUUGAUACAGAGCCUAAGUGUGCAGUUGUUCGACAGGCAGCAUGGCGGUGACAUGGUGGCAAGUCCCAUCUUUCCUGAGCAGAUGAAUCACCUAAGCUGA